rnacentral:rRNA from 1 species
UACAGAGGGUGCAAGCGUUAAUCGGAAUUACUGGGCGUAAAGCGUGCGCAGACGGUUGCGUAAGUCAGAUGUGAAAGCCCCGGGCUCAACCUGGGAAUUGCAUUUGAGACUGCGUAGCUAGGGUGCGGAAGAGGGAAGCGGAAUUUCCGGUGUAGCGGUGAAUGACGUAGAUAUCGGAAGGAACACCAGUGGCGAAAGCGGACUCCGUGGUCCAGCACCGACGUCAGGCACGAAAGCGUGGGGA